UUACGUUCUCGGGGCGGGGUGCGAUUCCCCACCGGCGGUAAUGACACAGUUUGCGUGUCUAGCCCGCGAGCGCUUGCUGGAGCUUCCAUCCGGUUGCCGGAUUUCUUCAGCAAGGUCAGCAGACUCGGUGUGAUCCCGAGGCCGACGGUCAUAGUCCGGAUGAUAGAGAACGGGA
rnacentral:ncRNA from 1 species